UCCGAAUGGUGUAGAAGGAAU
rnacentral:miRNA from 1 species